rnacentral:rRNA from 1 species
AGGGCACCACCAGGAGUGGAGCCUGCGGCUUAAUUUGACUCAACACGGGAAAACUCACCCGGCCCGGACACCGUAAGGAUUGACAGACUGAGAGCUCUUUCUUAAUUCGGUGGGUGGUGGUGCAUGGCCGUUCUUAGUUGGUGGAGCGAUUUGUCUGGUUAAUUCCGAUAACGAACGAGACUCUGGCCUAUUAAAUAGUCGGUAUAUCCAGAAAAGUUUACCGUACUUCUUAGAGGGACAAACGGCGUCUAGCCGCGUGAAAUAGAGCAAUAACAGGUCUGUGAUGCCCUUAGAUGUCCGGGGCUGCACGCGCGCUACACUGAAGGAAUCAGUAUGCGCUUUAACCUAGUCCGGAAGGAUUGGGUAACCCGAGCAAAUUCUUUCGUGCUUGGGAUAGGGAAUUGCAAUUAUUUCCCUUAAACGAGGAAUUCCCAGUAAAUGCGGGUCAUAAGCUCGCGUUGAUUACGUCCCUGCCCUUUGUACACACCGCCCGUCGCUACUACCGAUUGGAUGACUUAG